rnacentral:rRNA from 1 species
CCAAUAGCGUAUAUUAAAGUUGUUGCAGUUAAAAAGCUCGUAGUUGAAUUUCGAGACCGGUUUAUUGGUCGUGCUUUUGUACGUACUGGUAUUAUUGGUUUCUCCUUUCUGACGAAUCUUAAUGCCAUUAAUUUGGUGUUUUGGGGAAUCAGGACUGUUACUUUGAAAAAAUUAGAGUGUUUAAAGCAGGCUCACGCUUGAAUACAUUAGCAUGGAAUAACGAAAUAGGACGUUUGAUUUUAUUUUGUUGGUUUCUAGGAUCGACGUAAUGAUUAAUAGGGAUAGUUGGGGGCAUUAGUAUUCAAUUGUCAGAGGUGAAAUUCUUGGAUUUAUUGAAGACUAACUACUGCGAAAGCAUUUGCCAAGGAUGUUUUCAUUAAUCAAGAACGAAAGUUAGGGGAUCGAAGACGAUCAGAUACCGUCGUAGUCUUAACCAUAAACUAUGCCGACUAGGGAUCGGAUGAUGUUAAUUUUUUAAUGACUCAUUCGGCGCCUUACG